CAGUCGCCGCGGUAAAACGUAGGUGGCAAGCGUUGUCCGGAAUUAUUGGGCGUAAAGGGCUCGCAGGCGGUUUCUUAAGUCUGAUGUGAAAGCCCCCGGCUCAACCGGGGAGGGUCAUUGGAAACUGGGAAACUUGAGUGCAGAAGAGGAGAGUGGAAUUCCACGUGUAGCGGUGAAAUGCGUAGAGAUGUGGAGGAACACCAGUGGCGAAGGCGACUCUCUGGUCUGUAACUGACGCUGAGGAGCGAAAGCGUGGGGAGCGAACAGGAUUAGAUACCCGUGUAGUCCCUGUCUCUUAUAC
rnacentral:rRNA from 1 species